CCCUUGACUUUGGGAUAACUUCAGGAAACUGGGGGCUAAUACCGGAUAGGAGCUCCUGCUGCAUGGUGGGGGGUUGGAAAGUUUCGGCGGUUGGGGAUGGACUCGCGGCUUAUCAGCUUGUUGGUGGGGUAGUGGCUUACCAAGGCUUUGACGGGUAGCCGGCCUGAGAGGGUGACCGGCCACAUUGGGACUGAGAUACGGCCCAGACUCCUACGGGAGGCAGCAGUGGGGAAUAUUGCACAAUGGGCGGAAGCCUGAUGCAGCAACGCCGCGUGCGGGAUGACGGCCUUCGGGUUGUAAACCGCUUUCGCCUGUGACGAAGCGUGAGUGACGGUAAUGGGUAAAGAAGCACCGGCUAACUACGUGCCAGCAGCCGCGGUGAUACGUAGGGUGCGAGCGUUGUCCGGAUUUAUUGGGCGUAAAGGGCUCGUAGGUGGUUGAUCGCGUCGGAAGUGUAAUCUUGGGGCUUAACCCUGAGCGUGCUUUCGAUACGGGUUGACUUGAGGAAGGUAGGGGAGAAUGGAAUUCCUGGUGGAGCGGUGGAAUGCGCAGAUAUCAGGAGGAACACCAGUGGCGAAGGCGGUUCUCUGGGCCUUUCCUGACGCUGAGGAGCGAAAGCGUGGGGAGCGAACAGGCUUAGAUACCCUGGUAGUCCACGCUGUAAACGGUGGGUACUAGGUGUGGGGUCCAUUCCACGGGUUCCGUGCCGUAGCUAACGCUUUAAGUACCCCGCC
rnacentral:rRNA from 1 species